CGAGACCAGGACGUUGAUAGGUCAGGUGUGCACGUGCAGUAAUGCACUGAGCUAACUGAUACUAAUUGCCCGUAAGGCUUGAUCCUA
rnacentral:rRNA from 1 species